rnacentral:rRNA from 1 species
CGCACGGGUGAGUAAGGUAUAGUUAAUCUGCCCUAUACAAGAGGACAACAGUUGGAAACGACUGCUAAUACUCUAUACUCCUGCUUAACACAAGUUGAGUAGGGAAAGUUUUUCGGUGUAGGAUGAGACUAUAUAGUAUCAGCUAGUUGGUAAGGUAAUGGCUUACCAAGGCUAUGACGCUUAACUGGUCUGAGAGGAUGAUCAGUCACACUGGAACUGAGACACGGUCCAGACUCCUACGGGAGGCAGCAGUAGGGAAUAUUGCGCAAUGGGGGAAACCCUGACGCAGCAACGCCGCGUGGAGGAUGACACUUUUCGGAGCGUAAACUCCUUUUCUUAGGGAAGAAUUCUGACGGUACCUAAGGAAUAAGCACCGGCUAACUCCGUGCCAGCAGCCGCGGUAAUACGGAGGGUGCAAGCGUUACUCGGAAUCACUGGGCGUAAAGGGCGCGUAGGCGGAUUAUCAAGUCUCUUGUGAAAUCUAAUGGCUUAACCAUUAAACUGCUUGGGAAACUGAUAGUCUAGAGUGAGGGAGAGGCAGAUGGAAUUGGUGGUGUAGGGGUAAAAUCCGUAGAUAUCACCAAGAAUACCCAUUGCGAAGGCGAUCUGCUGGAACUCAACUGACGCUAAGGCGCGAAAGCGUGGGGAGCAAACAGGAUUAGAUACCCUGGUAGUCCACGCCCUAAACGAUGUACACUAGUUGUUGGGGUGCUAGUCAUCUCAGUAAUGCAGCUAACGCAUUAAGUGUACCGCCUGGGGAGUACGGUCGCAAGAUUAAAACUCAAAGGAAUAGACGGGGACCCGCACAAGCGGUGGAGCAUGUGGUUUAAUUCGAAGAUACGCGAAGAACCUUACCUGGGCUUGAUAUCCUAAGAACCUUUUAGAGAUAAGAGGGUGCUAGCUUGCUAGAACUUAGAGACAGGUGCUGCACGGCUGUCGUCAGCUCGUGUCGUGAGAUGUUGGGUUAAGUCCCGCAACGAGCGCAACCCACGUAUUUAGUUGCUAACGGUUCGGCCGAGCACUCUAAAUAGACUGCCUUCGUAAGGAGGAGGAAGGUGUGGACGACGUCAAGUCAUCAUGGCCCUUAUGCCCAGGGCGACACACGUGCUACAAUGGCAUAUACAAUGAGACGCAAUACCGCGAGGUGGAGCAAAUCUAUAAAAUAUGUCCCAGUUCGGAUUGUUCUCUGCAACUCGAGAGCAUGAAGCCGGAAUCGCUAGUAAUCGUAGAUCAGCCAUGCUACGGUGAAUACGUUCCCGGGUCUUGUACUCACCGCCCGUCACACCAUGGGAGUUGAUUUCACUCGAAGCCGGA